GGCGCUUCUGUGAAAUAUGUCCUUCCUCGGAGGGCCAGGAUGGUGGAUGCUGUGGAGGAGAUGGGAACAAUCCAAACUGCUGCAUGAACCAGAAGAAAGACCACUCAGUCAGCCUCUCACCAUCUUUAUUCAAACCAGAGGAGUUCACGCCCCUGGAUCCCACCCAAGAGCCCAUUUUUCCCCCAGAGUUGCUGAGGCUGAAAGACACUCCUCGGAAGCAGCUGCGAUUUGAAGGGGAGCGUGUGACGUGGAUACAGGCCUCAACCCUCAAGGAGCUGCUGGACCUCAAGGCUCAGCACCCUGACGCCAAGCUGGUGGUGGGGAACACGGAGAUUGGCAUUGAGAUGAAGUUCAAGAAUAUGCUGUUUCCUAUGAUUGUCUGCCCAGCCUGGAUCUCUGAGCUGAAUUCGGUAGAACAUGGACCCGAUGGUAUCUCCUUUGGAGCUGCUUGCCCCCUGAGCAUUGUAGAAAAAACCCUGGUGGAUGCUGUUGCUAAGCUUCCUGCCCAAAAGACAGAGGUGUUCAGAGGGGUCCUGGAGCAGCUGCGCUGGUUUGCUGGGAAGCAAGUCAAGUCUGUGGCG
rnacentral:sRNA from 1 species